rnacentral:rRNA from 1 species
UGGCUCAGGAUGAACGCUAGCUACAGGCUUAACACAUGCAAGUCGAGGGGCAUCAGGAAGAAAGCUUGCUUUCUUUGCUGGCGACCGGCGCACGGGUGAGUAACACGUAUCCAACCUGCCCUUUACUCGGGGAUAGCCUUUCGAAAGAAAGAUUAAUACCCGAUAGCAUAAUGAUUCCGCAUGGUUUCAUUAUUAAAGGAUUCCGGUAAAGGAUGGGGAUGCGUUCCAUUAGGUUGUUGGUGAGGUAACGGCCCACCAAGCCUUCGAUGGAUAGGGGUUCUGAGAGGAAGGUCCCCCACAUUGGAACUGAGACACGGUCCAAACUCCUACGGGAGGCAGCAGUGAGGAAUAUUGGUCAAUGGGCGCUAGCCUGAACCAGCCAAGUAGCGUGAAGGAUGAAGGCUCUAUGGGUCGUAAACUUCUUUUAUAUAAGAAUAAAGUGCAGUAUGUAUACUGUUUUGUAUGUAUUAUAUGAAUAAGGAUCGGCUAACUCCGUGCCAGCAGCCGCGGUAAUACGGAGGAUCCGAGCGUUAUCCGGAUUUAUUGGGUUUAAAGGGAGCGUAGGUGGACUGGUAAGUCAGUUGUGAAAGUUUGCGGCUCAACCGUAAAAUUGCAGUUGAUACUGUCAGUCUUGAGUACAGUAGAGGUGGGCGGAAUUCGUGGUGUAGCGGUGAAAUGCUUAGAUAUCACGAAGAACUCCGAUUGCGAAGGCAGCUCACUGGACUGCAACUGACACUGAUGCUCGAAAGUGUGGGUAUCAAACAGGAUUAGAUACCCUGGUAGUCCACACAGUAAACGAUGAAUACUCGCUGUUUGCGAUAUACAGUAAGCGGCCAAGCGAAAGCAUUAAGUAUUCCACCUGGGGAGUACGCCGGCAACGGUGAAACUCAAAGGAAUUGACGGGGGCCCGCACAAGCGGAGGAACAUGUGGUUUAAUUCGAUGAUACGCGAGGAACCUUACCCGGGCUUAAAUUGCAGUGGAAUGAUGUGGAAACAUGUCAGUGAGCAAUCACCGCUGUGAAGGUGCUGCAUGGUUGUCGUCAGCUCGUGCCGUGAGGUGUCGGCUUAAGUGCCAUAACGAGCGCAACCCUUAUCUUUAGUUACUAACAGGUUAUGCUGAGGACUCUAGAGAGACUGCCGUCGUAAGAUGUGAGGAAGGUGGGGAUGACGUCAAAUCAGCACGGCCCUUACGUCCGGGGCUACACACGUGUUACAAUGGGGGGUACAGAAGGCAGCUAGCGGGUGACCGUAUGCUAAUCCCAAAAUCCUCUCUCAGUUCGGAUCGAAGUCUGCAACCCGACUUCGUGAAGCUGGAUUCGCUAGUAAUCGCGCAUCAGCCACGGCGCGGUGAAUACGUUCCCGGGCCUUGUACACACCGCCCGUCAAGCCAUGGGAGCCGGGGGUACCUGAAGUACGUAACCGCAAGGAUCGUCCUAGGGU